rnacentral:lncRNA from 1 species
AGCUUCUAUCUACAAGAGUGAGAAAGUAGCUGCAAUGGUACUAGUGGGUCUGAUCCGUUAUUAUUUGUGCAUCCUACAUGUAUGUGAAUUUUCAUAAGCCUUGAGGUCUUAAACUCUGUUGUUUGUGCAUGUAGUAUUAAUUGAUAUCGUGAGAGCAAGGGUGACUAUCGAAUUGGGAUUGAGUGUGCUUUGGUACAUAUGGUCUUGAAGAGUAAGCGAAACAGAAUAUCCAUGAAUGGUACUGUUGCUUGAUCAAAGUUGCUGACGAGUAGAUAUCUGUCAAAAAGGGACUAUAGUUCUUUUGUCUCUUAAGGGGGAAAGAAAAUGAUGUUGAAUACUUGAAUGUCAGUAUGAAUUUAUUGUAAUCAUCUUAGCUCUAGCAUUUCGAAGGUGGGACAGAUAAAGAGAUGAUAUCUUAGAAACUUUAAACAUAAUGAAUGCAUCGUUUUUUUGAUGUGGUUUGUGAUAGGCAUAUUGAUACAAUAAUGAGUUUGAAAGUUGGGCAAUAAAAAGGACUGCUUUUUUGCAUGGAUUAGUGUCUGCAUCA